AACACUCACAAAACCCUGAGGCAAGGUAGUGGGCCACAGGUGGGCCGGUCAAAUUUUGCUAUCUGGGUAGGCUCUUCCUUAUGGCCUUGCUGCCAUGGUGUGGAAGAAUGGC